rnacentral:rRNA from 1 species
AUUGAACGCUGGCGGCAGGCUUAACACAUGCAAGUCGAGCGGGGGAGGUUGCUUCGGUAACUGACCUAGCGGCGGACGGGUGAGGAAUGCUUAGGAAUCGGCCUAUUAGUGGGGGACAACAUUCCGAAAGGAAUGCUAAUACAGCAUACGCUCUACGGGGGAAAGCAGAGCAUCUUCGGCCCUUGCGCUCAUAGAUGAGCAUAAGUCGGAUUAGCUAGUUGGUGGGGUAAAGGCCUACCAAGGCGACGAUCUGUAGCGGGUCUGAGAGGAUGAUCCGCCACACUGGGACUGAGACACGGCCCAGACUCCUACGGGAGGCAGCAGUGGGGAAUAUUGGACAAUGGGCGGAAGCCUGAUCCAGCCAUGCCGCGUGUGUGAAGAAGGCCUUUUGGUUGUAAAGCACUUUAAGCGAGGAGGAGGCUCUUAAGGUUAAUACCCUUGAUGAGUGGACGUUACUCGCAGAAUAAGCACCGGCUAACUCUGUGCCAGCCGCCGCGGUAA